GUGCUCAUUUUGGCAGUGCAUAUACUAAAAUGGAAUGAUACAGAGAAGAUUAGCAUGGCCCCUGUGCAAGGAUGACAUGCAAAUCCGUGAAGUGUUCCAUAUUUUU